GGGUGUAUAGCUCAGUGGUAGAGCGCUUGCUUAGCACACACAAGGUCCUGGGUUCGAUCCCCAGUACCUCCA
rnacentral:tRNA from 1 species